CGUUCUAUAAAUAAUUGGAUAAUUUGUAAUACUUGCUUUAGUAAAACCAAAAUUGAAGUUAUUGCAGAAGCCAAUAAUUUUGGGAACAUUUUUUAUAUUAUUUUAAAAACUUUUUGUUGAGGCCCAAUUUUGGCCCAACUUAAACCAAAAAACUACCUACCCAAAUAACCCCAAAACCCAAUUAGACCCAAAACAAAAAAAAAACCCAGCCUAAUACAUUAAAAAAAUCUAAACAAAAAAAAAACCUAGCCCCAUGACCCUAGUGCCGCCCUUAACCUCUGCCACCAGCUGCCAUGGCAGCACCUCCACUUGCCCCACUUGCCUGCAACGGAAAAGACAAAUAAAUUAAAAUAAGAAUAAUUUGUAAAAGGAUAUAUGAAGCCACAAUCUCAAUGUAAUGAAAGGGGAGGAAAGGAUUGUAUUUUUGAAAGGGGGUUUUCUUUGGAUACAAAAAAAAGAGAAGAAUGUAAAAGCAAAAGGUUUUCAAACAAAUCUGAAUAAAAAAAACAGCGAGUAUUGAAGAAGAAAAGAUUCAAACGCGUUAAGGUUUUUAUUUAUUUUUCUUUUUUAUUUUCAUUUUUUUCUAUACAUAUAAACAUAUUUUCUCUUCUUUUUCUUUUAAAGAUAGUAUAUAUAUUUAGAUAUAAAAAUAUAAAAAAAUAAUACCUUUUCUAAAUUCCGGCCACCGUGCGACGGCGGCGAAGACGGCGGACGGCGUCGGUCUGGCGCCUGGGUACUGACCGGAGCUAGGCCGGAUUCAAAGGGGGAGAGAGAGUUGAGAGCAAAUCUUUUUUUUUUUUUGAAAGGGGGGGUUAAAAC
rnacentral:lncRNA from 1 species